AGUGAACGCUGGCGGCAGGCCUAACACAUGCAAGUCGAGCGAACAGAUAGGGAGCUUUCGCCUCUGACGGUGGCGGCGGACGGAUGGGUAACACAUGGAUAGCCUACCUAUGGGACUGGUGUGAUUACAGGGAACCUGAGCUACUACCGGAUGAUAUAUCGAACCGCAUGGUUCAAGAGUGAGAUACGCUUUUCCUGUCACUUAUAGAUUGAUCCGAGUCGCAUUAGCUAGUUGGUAAGGUAACGGAUUACCAAGGCGACGAUGCGUAGCCGACCUGAUAGGGUGAUCAGGCACCCUGGAACUGAGACACGGUCCAGACUCCUACGGGAGGACGCAGUCGGGAAUCUUACGCAAUGGGCGAAAGCCUGAUGGAGCAAAACCGCGUGAGUGAUGAAGGUCUUCGGCUGGUAAAACUAUGUUAGUCGGAAAGAAGAAAAGUGCAUUCAACUAUGCAUGUCUUGACGGUACCCAAAGAAAAAGCCCCGGCUAACUUCGUG
rnacentral:rRNA from 1 species